CCCUAGCCCCGAUAGUAGCGGCAUCCUUUUCUUUUUUUCUUUAAAAAAGAAAAGAUACAGCGAAUAGCGGGAAAUAGC
rnacentral:sRNA from 1 species